GGAGAUCUCAAGGGAUCUCACCUAUGUAGAGAAGUUAGUGCGGAUCAUGGACACAUAAGUCAAGAAUUGAGCAGCAAGGGAAUCCUGAGGGUGAAAAGUGUUGGAAAUCACCCCUGGAUAGUAGUGAGUGUUUGGGAGACCCGGGAGUUUAUACUCCAGCAGUACAUGUGUUUCUCUUUCUAGGAGAGAGGUUAUUAGGUUUGCUUGCUUGUUUGCUUGCAUGUUCAUGUAUGUUUAUGCUAUGCCUGUUUGUUUGUGGAACAUUCGGGGACGAAUGUUCUUAAGAG
rnacentral:lncRNA from 1 species